GUUCCGGGAAUGGGGGGGAUGAGCCCCCCUCCCAACCUGCCUGCUUCUCCCGGAAGAGGAGCUUCUGCGCCGGAUUGCUGCUCUGCGCCUUUGAUCUAGGGGCGCGUGCUUUCGGAAAGGGGAGGAGGGGCAGCAGGCGACACCCCGCCCCCCCCCGUGGAUGUUGCAGGAAAGGAAAGGAGAAUCUGGAGCGAGGACAAAGAGGUAAAGGAGUCGCGGGGGCGGGGAGGACAGAAAAGGACCCAGAGACCCCCCUUGGCAGCGGCGAACAUGGGGCGCCUACCUAGGGGGUCCCACCAGGGCCCCUUUGUCCCGUUUCCCCCACGCAGGGAUCCCUGGGUCCCUGUGGGAUCUGCACGGAGCAGGGCGGGUCAUGAAAGGGUUAACGGGCGCGAGGGACGCCUGGAUAGAGACCCCCGUGUGGCUUCCUUCUUGCAAGCUGCAUCUUCUUCCCACCCCAGAAACCCCUGCACUGCCCAGUCGCUGGGGUUCAAAUCCAGAGAGGAAGAGGGGAGGGGAGGGGAGGGGAGAGCCCUUUUCAGAAGCCGUUCUCUGUUUCCACAAUCCCACCCAGGAAGCAGCCAGAAACCUUUUCCUCUCUCUCAGGCUUCCAUCUUUAAUGUCUUUUCCACUGCCUGCUUCAUUGAGGAUGAGGAUAAUGUACACCUGUCAUCAGAAACAGGGGUGCAGAGUCCAUGGAAUGGCUCUCAGGAUUGAUAUAGAAGUUGCACCUCAAAAGCAUUUCUGUUCCUCUUAUUCUUUGUAGGCAGUGUCAGAAUGACUGACAAUUUGAGAUUCUUCCCAGUCAAAGGACCCAUUUUCAUGAUAGACAGUGCCUGUGGCUGGAGGCUCUACAUACAAGGUGUGCCUAUACAGGCCAGUGACUGCCAGUAUUAGCACAGGUGAGGUGUGUCACCUCCCCAAAUUUACAGACUGUAUGUGAAUGAGAAGUUGUGGGUGGGAUUACCCUUUAUGGCAUCUCUGUGAUUUUCUCCUCCACAAUGAUCUCCAGAGCAAGUCCAACAUACAAUUAGCAGAGCAGGGAAAAACGCUCAGAGACAGCAAAAAAUUCCUUCAGCAAAUUAAUUUGUGACUGAAGGCAAAACAGGAAUCUAUGCCUGCAAAUUGCAACCACGGCAAUUUAAAGGUCAGCACCAACAAUGUGAAUUGUGCUCAGAAAUGUACUGGGAGUCAAUGAAGAUCCUUUCGGACUGGUGUUAUGUUGUCUCAGCGGCUGCUCCCUUUCUGUUGUCUAGCUGCCACAUUCUGGAUUAGUUGGGGUUUACGAGUCACCUUCCAAGGUGGCCCCAUGUAGCGCAUGGAAGCAGUCCAAGGGGGAGAUCACCAGAGCAUGCACCACUCUGGGGAGACAGUCUCCAGGCAUGGAGGGUCUCAGCCAGCGUACCAGAUGGAGCUGGCAGACAACUGCCCUGGACACAGAAUUGACCUGCACCUCUAUGGACAGCUGUGAGUCCAAAAUUUGGUUUUACUGCUGUGGCUGCUUUUGCUGUCAUGGACUGGCUGAUUGCGGGGGCGGGGGCGAGGCACCAGCUGGGGGACCCCCAAGGGAAGUAGCUCAGAUCCUGGGGACUGGUGGUGGGAUGGCAAUGAGCAGAAAGAGGGAGAAAAGGGAGCAGAACGGCAGGAGAGUUGUUGCAAGCUGAGGAGGAAAGGGUUUGGUGAGCGGGAUGAGGCUGGGGCAGAGAGCAGUUCAGGAGAGGAGGGAGGAGAAGAGGGGCCAGGAGACCCAGAGGAGGCCGGCCCCUGAAGCAUCCAGGGAGACCCCCCCUCCUGCUGCGACCAGCUCCCCUCCCCUGGUCUCCUAGAGCACACAGAGAAACCCGAUUCAGACCCCAUGAUCCUGCACAUGAUAUUAAGAGGGUGUUUCUCUGCCCCCCAACAUGCAUCACUUGAAUCUCGUUGACAAUGAACUGUAUUUUCAGCCCAAUCCCCGUUUGGAGAGCUCUUAGGUGCUCCUUGCAAUCUCUCUUUGUUUGAACAACCCUGGACAAUUUACUGCCAUCAGCAAACUUUGCUUACUCCUAACUUUAGAUCAUUUAUGAACAAGUUGAAAAGCCACAGGUCCCAAUACUGAUCUAUAGGGGACUCCACUUUCUGCUUCUCUCCAUUCAUAGGACUUUCCGUUUAUUAGUACGUGUUCCUCCCUCCCCCCAUCCUUCUGUGCUGCGGAGGGAACCCUCCGGAAAAGUUAUGGAGUGAAUUUCACUUCCCCACACACCCAACACUGCUCAGCAUUCAGGGAAAUGGAAGAUGAAAGCUGGCCACAAUCCAAGAGGCUGAGGUAAGCAGAAAGCGAAGCAAAGCCUACUCACAGGGAAGCCCCUUCAGCUUCCAGCCCGUCUGCUCCCACAAUGGCUAAAGAAGAAUUGCCAUUUGGUCAUGGCGGAGCUGAAUGGAAGCGGGCGAGGAAGCCCCACAAUCGCUACUGCUGGAGGAAUAGGGGCACUGACCCCAAUACUCAAAGCUGAUGCCCACUUCUGGAAUCCGGGAAGGAAUUCUCCCCACACUGGUCACAUGCAGCUGGGCUCACUUGCCAGAGCCACCUGCAGGGCCUGCCAACAGUUCCCUUCAUCCCUAGUCUUGCUAGCUUGGGAUGGUGGGUUCUAUAGUCCAAAAACAGCUGGAGACCCAAAUUUGGGAAACCCUGUUCUCCCUGAAGGAUAAAGGAGGAUUCACUUGCAUUAGAACGUCAGGUGAGCCCUGCAGGAUCAGGCCCAAGGGGCCCCUGUCCUCCCAGGGGCCCAGCAGGGGCCUCUUCUGGGAAGCCCACUGGCAGCACUUAAGCACCAGAGAAGGACGGCUGCCUCUGAUUGGGGAAGCACAUUUCUUCUAGGGACACAUUUCUGGCGAAGUUUAGGGAAGUGUUUUAAUGUUUAAUGCCGUACAGUGGUAUCUCUGGUUAAGUACUUAAUUUGUUCCGGAGGUCCGUACUUAACCUGAAACUGUUCUUAACCUGAAACACCACAUUAGCUAAUGGUGCCUCCUGCUGCCGCCACACCGCCAGAGCACAAUUUCUGUUCUCAUCCUGAAGCAAAGUUCUUAACCUGAAGGACUUUUUCUGGGUUAGCGGAGUCUGUAACCUGAAGCGUAUGUAACCCGAGGUACCACUGUAUUGUGUUUUUAGUAUUGGGGUGGGAGCCGCCCAGAGUGGCUGGGGAAGCCCAGCCAGAUGGGCGGGGUAUAAAUAAUAAAUUAUUAUAUAUAUUCUUAUAUGGGGUGCCCACGAUGCUCCCCAGCCUGGCUCCAGACUGCCAGGGAAGCUGUGUUGUGUUUUGCUGCAGGUGAGCCUGCCCUGUGCAACGCUGGGCUCUUAAAGGAACUUGGAGCUCCAGGCGGAGGGGCCACAGCUUCCCCACACUUGUGAAGCAGCCAUGGGAGCGAUGGGGAGGCAGGCGGCUUGCGGUGGGGAGUGGCGUGGAGUGGAGGAAUCCGCUAGAAGGAGCUUCUGGAGCCUAUGCACCCCACUCCUUGCCUGCUCCCUGAAGGUUUCCUGAGCCUCUCCCCUUUUCAUUUCAGGGAUUGGGGGACCUCAGCAUCCCAGGGUUGCUUUGUUCUGGGGGUGGGGGGAAGCUAUUUUGUUUGCUGAGGGCAGGAGUCACAAUCCUGUCCCAUUGUGUUGUGUCUGGCUUUUAGGUAAGGGGAUGAGGCUCAGGUGGGAAAGAGUUGAGAAAGAAAAAAUCCUGGGGUGUGGAUUUACUCCGCUGCCCAGCUCGUCAGGGUGCCACUCCCCGGGGGUCCCUCUGGUCAGCAAAAGAAGGAAUCUCCAGCCACGUUAAAUAUACAAAACCUCGGUCAGCAGACCUGAUCUUUAUUUGUUGCAACAAGGUUCAAACACAAAGAUUGUUUGGUUGCAUUACGAGAGGGGGAAGCUGCUCCUUUAUCCCUUAUGGGGUAUCCAAGAGCCCAUAUAGAGUCCUUUUGUAGGUUCUUUAUCGGUAGGAGGAAAUAACAGAGGCCAACUACAGAAUAUUGAGAAUCAAAGCAGCUAGUAAGCCUGAUCUUUAUUGAAGCUCUUGCAAUAGGGUGUUCCCCCCACAGGCAGGAGAGAGGAGGAGCCCUUACAAAGGAGUGCAAGCCCUUAUAUAGACAUUUUGAAAUUGCCCGUCCUGGAGCCCAAGACCGCCCCCCCCCCGAAACAUCAUAAAUACAUCACAGAAGGGGUGUAGCCCAAGACCACCCCCAAGACAGCAUACCUACAUCAGAGAAGGGGCAGACUACAACAGAAAUCUGGGUGAGCUGUUUUUCUCCUGUCUGCCAGGUUACCUGAUUGGAUUACCUGGGCAUCCUGGCCACUCUUUUGUUAUGAUAGCUACUCAAUUCCUGAAUCCAGGUCACAGGUCGCAGGCUCACUCUAUUUAUAUCUUAAGGUAAAGGGACUCCUGACCAUUAGGUCCAGUCGUGACCGACUCUGGGGUUGCGUUGCUCAUCUCGCUUUAUUGGCCGAGGGAGCCGGCAUACAGCUUCCGGGUCAUGAGGCCAGCAUGACUAAGCCUCUUCUGGCAAACCAGAGCAGCGCACAGAAACGCCGUUUACCUUCCCGCCAGAGCGGUACCUAUUUAUCUACUUGCACUUUGACAUGCUUUCGAACUGCUAGGUUGGCAGGAGCAGGGACUGAGCAACAGGAGCUCACCCCCUUGGGAUUCGAACCGCCGACCUUCUGAUCAGCAAGUCCUAGGCUCUGUGGUUUAACCCGCAGCGCCACCCGCGUCCCUUAUUCAUAUCUUCUUGUUGUUUAGUCAUGUCCGACUCUUCGUGACCCCCUGGACCAGAGCACGCCAGGCACUUCUGUCUUCCACUGCCUCCCGCAGUUUGGUCAAACUCAUGCUGGUAGCUUCACGCACACUAUCCAACCAUCUUGUCUUCUUCUCCUUGUGCCCUCCAUCUUUCCCAACAUCAGGGUCUUUUCCAGGAGUCUUCUCUUCUCAUGAGGUGGCCAAAGUAUUGGAACCUCAGCUUCACGAUCUGUCCUUCCAGUGAGCACUCAGGACUGAUUUCCUUCAGAAUGGAGAGGUUUGAUCUUCUUGCAGUCCAUGGGACUCUCAAGAGUCUCCUCCAGCACCAUAAUUCAAAAGCAUCAAUUCUUCGGCGAUCAACCUUCUUUAUAGUCCAGUUUUCACUUCCAUACAUCACUACUGGGAAAACCAUAGCUUUUACUAUAUGGACCUUUGUUGGCAAGGUGAUGUCUCUACUUUUUAAGAUGCUGUCUAGACAAUGGGGAGGUUUUUAAGAUGCUGUUUAGACAAUGGGGAGGUUUCCCACUAUGACCUUGCAGAGAAAUAUUUGAGGUUAAUUUGGGAGGUACAAAAUGGUUCUAGAACUUUUUCUAUUGGCUUCAGACAUGUGGGGUGUGUGUGUGUGUUCUUAGAACAUUUAUUUUGUAUACAUUAGACCUUAAAAUUCUUACCAAAAUUACAUAUGGUUGCGCGAACUUUUAACACCUCUCCCCAUUUCCCACAAUACAGGGUCAUCGAUACAUCACAAAUAUGUCACAAAGUAGGAGUCUUUGGCAUUUAGAAAAAUGAGCCCGUCUCCCUGCCCGUCAGUAACCCUAUUUUCCCACACCUUUUAACUACCCUCUUCCCCAAAGAACCGUAAUAGUAUUCGGACAUCCCCCGAACUGGAAGGCUUUCCUGCGCUUCUCCUUUGAAUGCAUCAGGAUUCAAUCCACCAUCCCGAUGGAUUUCUGUCUGGGACAUGUGCUGCCCUUGAUCGCCUCCUGCCUCCUAAGGGAUUAUGGAGUCAGGGGGAGCCCUGGAUCCCCCAAUUCCAGAGGAGUCAUUAGGCGUAUUGGAUAGUCGGAGGAAACAGUCCGAUUCAUGGUAUCCGCUUCUUGCUACUUUUGCUUUUCUGCUUUUCUGAGCCUCCUUGCUGUUGUGCAUGGAAGGUGCUUGUGUCAACGGUCAUUGUCCUGGCCUUAGUCUGAGGCUGUGGUGGGGACUUGGGGUUUUGGGGGAGUCGUAUAACUGUCCCCCCUCCUGGUUUGAAGAGCACCAAUACCUAAAACACGGACGCACGGCUCGUGGCGUGGGGUGGGUGAGGGAAGGAUUUUGCAAUGUAAACAUUGGGGGGGAACCCCACUUUGUAAUUGGAUUGCGGGAUCAGCCCCUCCCCCGCUCUCCUGAUCCACAGAUGGAAGAGGGGAGGAGAGAUACCUUCCUCUCCCUCCCCCCAGUUCCUCCCCUCCCGGCACCUCCUUCCCUCAUCCCUCCCCCUCAUCCCCAAAUCCCCUCCCCAAUAUGUUGCUCCUCCUCCUCGUCAUCCGACCUCUGUUCCGGGAAUAGGGGGGGAGAGCCCCCCUCCCAAACUGCCUGCUUCUCCCGGAAGUGGAGCUUCCACUCCGGAUUACUGCUCUGCGCCGUAGCUCUAGGGCAGCGCGCUUUCGGAAAGGGGAGGAGGGGCAGCAGGCGACACCCCCCCCCCCGUGGAUGUUGCAGGAAAGGAAAGGAGAAUCUGGAGUGAGGAGAAAGAGGUAAAGGGGUCAUGGGGGGGGAGGACAGAAAAGGACCCAGGUAGGGACGCCGCGCCAGCUCCCCAAAGCGCCUUUCGUGGGUCCCGUCGGCAUGGCCUAGAUCCCUGCAUCCGUGCUGCGCCUUGGCAGCAGCGGACAUGGGGCGCCUACUGAGGGGGUACCACCAGGGCCCCUUUGCCCCGUUUCCCCCACGCAGGGAUCCCUGGGGCCCUGUGGGAUCUGCACGGAGAAAGGCGGGCCAUGAAAGGGUUAACGGGCGCGAGGGACGCCUGGAUAGAGACCCCCGUGUGGCUUCCUUCCUGCAAGCUGCAUCCUCUUCACGCCCCCAGAAACCCCUGCACUGCCCAGUCGCUGCGGUUCAAAUCCAGAGAGGAAGAGGGGAGGGGAGGGGAGGGGAGAGCCCUUUUCAGAAGCCGUUCUCUGUUUCCACAAUCCCACCCAGGAAGCAGCCAGAAACCUUUUCCUCUCUCUCAGGCUUCCAUCUUUAAUGUCUUUUCCACUGCCUGCUUCAUUGAGGAUGAGGAUAAUGUACACCUGUCAUCAGAAACAGGGGUGCAGAGUCCAUGGAAUGGCUCUCAGGAUUCAUAUAGAAGUUGCACCUCAAAAGCAUUUCUGUUCCUCUUAUUUUUGGUAGGGAGUGUCAGAGUGACUGACAAGCUGAGAUUCUUCCCAGUCAAAGGACCCAUUUUCAUGAUAGACAGUGCCUGUGGCUGGAGGCUCUACAUACAAGGUGUGCCUAUACAAGCCAAAAACUGCCAGUAUUAGCACAGGUGAGGUAUGUGACCUCCCCAAAUUUACAGACUGUAUGUGAAUGAGAAGUAGUGGGUGGGAUUACAGUUUAGGGCAGCC
rnacentral:lncRNA from 1 species